rnacentral:misc_RNA from 1 species
CCAGGGUUUGAUCGAUGAGCAUAGAAAUAAUAAGGAGCAUUCAGGUUUAGAGAGGAAGAAUACCAUGAUUGAUCACCUUCUUUCUUUGCAAGAGUCACAGCCCGAUUAUUAUACUGAUGAGAUUAUCAAAGGGCUCAUUCAGAUCAUGCUGUUUGCUGGAACAGAUACAUCUGCAGUGACAUUAGAAUGGGCAAUGUCCAAUCUACUCAACCAUCCAAACAUACUGAGGAAGGCUAGAGAUGAAAUAGAAAAUCAGGUUGGGCAAGAAUGUUUGGUAGAUGAACAUCAUCUUUCCAAGUUACCCUACCUUCAAAACAUUAUCUCCGAGACCCUUAGGCUAUACCCAGCAGCUCCACUCUUAGUUCCCCACAUGUCAUCUGAUGAUUGCACUCUUGGAGGAUACGACGUGCCGCGUGGCACCUUGCUAUUAGUCAAUGCGUGGACUAUACACAGAGAUCCUACAAUUUGGGAUGAUCCUACGAGUUUCAAACCUGAGAGAUUUGAUGGAGGAGAAGGAGAGGGUCACAAACUUAUGCCAUUCGGCUUGGGAAGAAGGUCCUGUCCUGGGUCUGGUUUAGCUCAACGUGUAAUAGGGUUGACCUUAGGGUCCCUCAUCCAAUGCUUUGAAUGGGAAAGGGUGAGUGAUAAGAACAUUGAUAUGAUGGAAGGUAAAGGGAUUACUAUGCCCAAGGCUGUACCACUAGAGGCCAUGUGCAAAGCACGCCCAAUCAUGAAGAAGAUUCUGCUGCUUCAGGCUCAGCCAGUUUAUCCCUGAGCUAACGUUGUUUCUUUAAAGCUACAAUUUAGCAGUUUUAUUAUCUUGUCCAGUUAUGAUAAGCGC